AACGAACGUUAGCGGCGCGCCUAACACAUGCAAGUCGCACGAGAAAGGGCUUCGGCCCCGGUAAAGUGGCGCACGGGUGAGUAACACGUGGGUAACCUGCCCUCGAGCGGGGGAUAACAUUCCGAAAGGAGUGCUAAUACCGCAUAAGACCACGACCUCGAAAGAGGAUGGGGUCAAAAGCUGGCCUCUAUACAUAAGCUAGCACUUGAGGAUGGGCCCGCGGCGCAUCAGGUAGUUGGUGAGGUAACGGCUCACCAAGCCUAAGACGCGUAGCUGGUCUGAGAGGAUGAUCAGCCACACUGGAACUGAGACACGGUCCAGACUCCUACGGGAGGCAGCAGUGGGGGAAUCUUGCGCAAUGGACGAAAGUCUGACGCAGCGACGCCGCGUUGAGUGAUGAAGGCCUGUGUAAG
rnacentral:rRNA from 1 species